AAAAAAAUAGUUCUUUAAGAUGUCUUGCAACUUAUUGAUUAAUAGAGAUAUAUUCAUUUAUAAUAUCUAUGGUCUAUCAAAUAAGGGAUAUGUAUAUUCUUCCAAAAUGGCUCAAAUUCAGGCACCAAUUUGCAAUUUUGCUCAUAUUUACACACAUUUAUUUUUAUUUGGGAAAAGAGUCCCAAUGGCCCUUCAACUCUUACCCAGGUAAAGUUUUGGCCCUCCAACAAUUAAAGAUACGUUUUUGGCCCUCGAUAUAACAAAAUAGCAUAUUAGUGGCCCUUCUGUCAAAUCCACCAGUUAACUAUGACGGGAAGCUUCAUCUCGUGAGACGCGACACCAAAUAUGAAGGGUAUUAUAGUCUCUACAUGAUGGUUGACCAAGCAAAGAGAGAGUAAAAAGGUUGCAUCUUAUCUUACCUCAAGUUAGAGCAACAAAAUCUCCAUCUAGUCAAAGUUGGAGCUGAAAAUGCGAAGAAUGAACAGUUCCCUCUACCGAUGUGCAAAUGUGAGAAAGAGACUAGGGUGAUUAUUUCGUGGACUUCAAAAAAUCCUGGGCGAAUGUUUGCUGUGUGGGCAGAAGGUUGCUGCAGAUAUUGGGCAUGGAUCGAUGAGGAGAUGUGCCGACGGGCUACAGAAAUUAUACCUGGCCUUCUUCGAAAGAUUAAUGCAACUGAAAAGGACAGAGAUGAAUACGAAGAAUUAGCAAGAAGAAAUGAAAGAAAGGUAACAAAAUUGAAGGAAAAAGUUCCUUCACAGUGGAAUUUGAUAAUGUAUCCACUAUCCAGCCGACUCGUGCUCCCGUGUCCUUAUCAUCCUUCUUCUUUCUUAUUAUUAAAAAAAAACAGAGAAAAGGAGAAUACGGCGAUGCGGAUUUUCCUCAAAUGAAACAUUUUUAAAAUUUUGAAAAAAAAAAUGUUUUUGUAAAGUUGUGUGCUUACCCCGGAAAAAGUUGGAACUGAAGAAGGGAAGUCGGUCGGAUUUUUAAAACUGCUCCUGGUGUUGU
rnacentral:lncRNA from 1 species